GAAUGAGAUCAUACCAACACUAAUUCAUUGGAUCUUGUCAUCACUCUUAAAUUAAACGUACUUGGUUGAGUGUAGUACUACGAUGGGUGACCUUUUGAUCCAUCCUCCGAUUGCACACCU
rnacentral:rRNA from 1 species